AAUAAAUAAUUAAUUAAUUUAAAAAAUAAAAAUUUAAACUUUUAUUAAAAAGUUGAGUUUAGGUUGCUAACUGCCAGCUAAGUGGGCACUGUAUUCACAACACACACACCCAGGAUUGAUAAGGAUCUUCCUCAGCCGGAGAGCUCAAACAGAUGACAACAGAAGUGUUAAUCAUUUCCUUACUAAGCAAUCUUAGUCACAGGUUCCUGCUAAAAGUGAAAUCACUCCCUCGGGUUUAAACACAGUUGAAAAUGUUUAACUUAGUUGCAGUUUCUUCCUUCUAGGUUAAGCACGUGGAAAUUUGUUUGGCAAUUCUUUUUACAGCAUUAUUUCCAUUUGUUACUCCCACAAGCUGGAGUUUAUCUGACUGGGUGGUGCAUGGAAACUUCAGGACAAAAUUUAAUGGCCAAAGGCUGAGUGAAAUUUACCCUGACUGUAGUUAUGAAAAGGCUCUCCCCACAGUGUUGGAACUCCACUUUCCCUUGGCAUGCUGGAGAUGGACAAGUGGUGCUGGGUCUGUGCUGAAAGAAGCCUCAGGAAGUUCAUGGAAAUAAAUUCACAGUAAAUUUAAUCUAAGUUACUGAGUGGUUAAAAUGUACUGCCUGCCUAUUGAUGUUUUGAAGCCCCAUAGGGGUCUACUUUUUCAUUUAUUUGUAAAUGUUCACUUCCCUUCAGUGAAUUAGAAUUAUAGUUAGAAUAAUAAUUAGCGUUUCUGGACUUAACUUUGCACUAGGAACUGUGCUAACAGUGCUGCAUGCAUUGUUUAUCAUUCUCCAUUCUCGUACAAUAAGAGGUUGGUACUACCAUCAUCUUCAUUUAUAUGUACAGAAGAUGAUUUGGUCAUUCCUGUCUUGCACGGUACCUAAGUGGGAGACUCCAGUGUUGCAUCCGGGCAGUCUAACGCCGGAGCCUAUCCUCUUAACUACUAUUUAACACAACCAUUCUAACUAAAAAGUAUUAAUCAUCCUUCAGAAAUUUUAGAGACCAUUAUUAUGCCAGUAUUCUUUUCAUCACUAUCAACUAAGAAACCAUAUUCUAAUAUUUAAGAGCUUUUCUGCGUUUUAUAAAAUGUCUCAUUCUUGCCCACAGCAUAAACCCUGGGGAGGGGCUGGUGGGUGCAGAAGGAAGGAGACCCUCUCACCACCAGAGAGCUGAUUAAUUUACAAUUAGUAAAGGCUAAAAAGUCUCUUUCUGAAACUUUUGUUUCGAGCCCUAAAAUUAAAACAUGGUCACUGAAUUCUAUCUCUUUUUGGGGGAAGAAGAUUGAGACAAGCGUUCAUUUUCUGGGUCUCUCAUCUCCUCCAUGGCUAAACUGAGAAUUCCAUGUUGUGAAAUUUCUGCGUGGAACCUCUGCCAGGGCACAUGUAUCUACCUUUUGGACUGCUUCUCAAAGCUCAGUUUUUUACGUUUUCUAGUAUAUGUAAUUUAAAAAAAAAACUUUAAACAUAUAGAGAAUGUGAAAAUGUUAAAGAAUAAUACAAUGAACAGCCUUAGACCUAUCACUCAGAUUCAACGCCCAUGUACCUACUACAGAGAUGUUGACAUAUUUUGUCA
rnacentral:lncRNA from 13 species